AAGUCGUAACAAGGUUUCUGUAGGUGAACCUGCAGAAGGAUCAUUUUCGAUUUAUAUUUAUCCACCCCUUGUGAACUGUUUGAUAGAGAAUGUUUGGCAGAAUGUCGCUCUUUGCAGCGCGUCAGAAGUCCGCAGGACUUGCUGUGUCUGCCAACAGACUCGUUUUUAACAAACCUUUACAAUUGCACUGAUAAAAUUAAAGUAAUUAAAACAACUUUCAACAAUGGAUCUCUUGGCUCUC
rnacentral:misc_RNA from 1 species